GGCACUAUAGCCAAGUGGUUAAGGCGAUGCACUCGAAUGGCAACUCGAUAUGCAUUCCACUUUGUGGGCGCAGGUUCAAAUCCUGCUGGUGUCG
rnacentral:tRNA from 1 species